rnacentral:sRNA from 1 species
GAAGUUCUUUAUAUUGAUUUGCUAGAAGGGGAUACAGAAUGCCAUGCUAGAUUUAAAACUCCUGAGGAUGCUCAAGCAGUAAUAAAUGCAUAUACAGAAAUUAAUAAGAAACACUGCUGGAAACUCGAGAUCCUUUCUGGUGAUCACGAACAAAGGUAUUGGCAGAAGAUUUUGGUUGAUAGACAGGCAAAACUUAAUCAGCCUCGGGAAAAGAAAAGAGGCACUGAAAAGGUAAUUGAUUCAUUUUUGUUUUUUUAGACUAAACUUUCCCUGAACGUUUAAUGCCAAAGUCAGUACUAGGUAGUCAUAAAAUGAUCGUAGUUUUGCUAUUACCUAACAAAGAUUUACUGAGUAUAUACUGUUUUAGGUUGGGAGGGAAAAGUCAUUUCUCUAGAUUUCAAAAUGUGUGAAAUUGAAUUAUUUUUCUCACAAGGAUACAUAAUUUUAAUUUAGAUUUUUUCUUUUUAACAGUGAUAUACUUGAACAGUCUCGAUUUCUGGCUGCUCUGUCUUGUAGUUUGGUGAUAAAUGAUUAUAGAAAGAUUAUCUUCAUUGUAAAAACACAAUGUAUUCAGAAUGUAGUUUAUAAAGAUAGGAGCCUCCAUAGAUAAGAUGGAGAGACUUUAUGCAUAGUGUUUCCUAUAGCAACAAUAAGCUUUAUUCCUCUUUCUCUAAGAUAGUCUGUAGGUAAUACAAACAAGCUUAAAUAAUUUAAAGCAAGCCCCUCUUUCAGUAAUUUUAUUUUUCUGUCACUUAAAAUGAUACUGGUCUGAUCAGUAGUGGAAUCACACCUGGGAAUAGCCACUGCUUUCCAGCUUAGGCAACGUAGCAAGACC